GUAAUAAUCCUGUAGUCGAAAAUGUUGUCUCUCUUGAGUGGAUCCUGAGUACGACGGAGCACGUGAAAUUCCGUCGGAAUCUGGGAGGACCAUCUCCUAAGGCUAAAUACUCUCUAGUGACCGAUAGUGAACCAGUACCGUGAGGGAAAGGUGAAAAGCACCCCGGAAGGGGAGUGAAAUAGAACCUGAAACCGUGUGCUUACAAGUAGUCAGAGCCCGUUAAUGGGUGAUGGCGUGCCUUUUGUAGAAUGAACCGGCGAGUUACGAUUUGAUGCAAGGUUAAGCAGUAAAUGUGGAGCCGUAGCGAAAGCGAGUCUGAAUAGGGCGUUUAGUAUUUGGUCGUAGACCCGAAACCAGGUGAUCUACCCUUGGUCAGGUUGAAGUUCAGGUAACACUGAAUGGAGGACCGAACCGACUUACGUUGAAAAGUGAGCGGAUGAACUGAGGGUAGCGGAGAAAUUCCAAUCGAACCUGGAGAUAGCUGGUUCUCUCCGAAAUAGCUUUAGGGCUAGCCUCAAGUGAUGAUUAUUGGAGGUAGAGCACUGUUUGGACGAGGGGCCCCUCUCGGGUUACCGAAUUCAGACAAACUCCGAAUGCCAAUUAAUUUAACUUGGGAGUCAGAACAUGGGUGAUAAGGUCCGUGUUCGAAAGGGAAACAGCCCAGACCACCAGCUAAGGUCCCAAAAUAUAUGUUAAGUGGAAAAGGAUGUGGCGUUGCCCAGACAACUAGGAUGUUGGCUUAGAAGCAGCCAUCAUUUAAAGAGUGCGUAAUAGCUCACUAGUCGAGUGACACUGCGCCGAAAAUGUACCGGGGCUAAACAUAUUACCGAAGCUGUGGAUUGUCCUUUGGACAAUGGUAGGAGAGCGUUCUAAGGGCGUUGAAGCAUGAUCGUAAGGACAUGUGGAGCGCUUAGAAGUGAGAAUGCCGGUGUGAGUAGCGAAAGACGGGUGAGAAUCCCGUCCACCGAUUGAC
rnacentral:rRNA from 1 species